rnacentral:rRNA from 1 species
GCUUAACGCGAAGAACCUUACCACCCCUUGACAUCCUGCGAACUUUCUAGAGAUAGAUUGGUGCCUUCGGGAGCGCAGAGACAGGUGCUGCAUGGCUGUCGUCAGCUCGUGUUGUGAAAUGUUGGGUUAAGUCCCGUAACGAGCGCAACCCUUGUCCUUAGUUGCCAGCGAGUAAUGUCGGGAACUCUAAGGAGACUGCCGGUGACAAACCGGAGGAAGGUGGGGACGACGUCAAGUCAUCAUGGCCCUUACGGGGUGGGCUACACACGUGCUACAAUGGCCGGUACAGACGGUUGCAAACCCGCGAGGGGGAGCCAAUCCGAGAAAACCGGUCGUAGUCCGGAUCGCAGUCUGCAACUCGACUGCGUGAAGUCGGAAUCGCUAGUAAUCGCGGAUCUGAAUGCCGCGGUGAAUACGUUCCCGGGUCUUGUACACACCG